rnacentral:tRNA from 1 species
GCCGCGGUGGCGAAAUUGGUAGACGCGAUGGUCUCAAACACCAUUGAUCGCAAGGUCGUGAGAGUUCGAGUCUCUCCCGCGGCA